GGGGCGAUAGCUCAGCAGGGAGAGCGCUUGAAUAUUCAAGAGGUCCGGGGUUCGAGCCCCCGUCGCUCCACCA
rnacentral:tRNA from 1 species